UCUUUCUUUGCUGGCGACCGGCGCACGGGUGAGUAACACGUAUCCAACCUGCCCUUUACUCGGGGAUAGCCUUUCGAAAGAAAGAUUAAUACCCGAUAGCAUAAUGAUUCCGCAUGGUUUCAUUAUUAAAGGAUUCCGGUAAAGAUGGGGAUGCGUUCCAUUAGGUUGUUGGUGAGGUAACGGCCCACCAAGCCUUCGAUGGAUAGGGGUUCUGAGAGGAAGGUCCCCCACAUUGGGACUGAGACACGGUCCAA
rnacentral:rRNA from 1 species